AUUGAACGCUGGCGGCAGGCUUAACACAUGCAAGUCGAGCGGUAACAGAGAGAAGCUUGCUUCUCUGCUGACGAGCGGCGGACGGGUGAGUAAUGCCUAGGAAUCUGCCUAGUAGUGGGGGAUAACUUGCCGAAAGGUACGCUAAUACCGCCUACGUCCUACGGGAGAACGGAGGGGACCUUCGGGCCUUUCGCUAUUAGACGAGCCUAGGUCGGAUUAGUUAGUUGGUGAGGUAAUGGCUCACCAAGACCGCGAUCCGUAACUGGUUCUGAGAGGAUGAUCAGUCACACUGGAACUGAGACACGGUCCAGACUCCUACGGGAGGCAGCAGUGGGGAAUAUUGGACAAUGGGGGGAACCCUGAUCCAGCCAUGCCGCGUGUGUGAAGAAGGUCUUAGGAUUGUAAAGCACUUUAAGUUGGGAGGAAGAGCAGUUAACUAAUAUUUGACUGUUUUGACGUUACCGACAGAAUAAGCACCGGCUAACUUCGUGCCAGCAGCCGCCGUAA
rnacentral:rRNA from 1 species